UAAGAAGGGUGCAAGCGUUAAUCGGCAUUACUGGGCGUAAAGCGCGCGUAGGUGGUUCAGCAAGUUGGAUGUGAAAUCCCCGGGCUCAACCUGGGAACUGCAUCCAAAACUACUGAGCUAGAGUACGGUAGAGGGUGGUGGAAUUUCCUGUGUAGCGGUGAAAUGCGUAGAUAUAGGAAGGAACACCAGUGGCGAAGGCGACCACCUGGACUGAUAAUGAAACGGAGGUGCGAAAGCGGGGGGAGCACACAGGAUUCGAUAACACUGUAGUCC
rnacentral:rRNA from 1 species